rnacentral:rRNA from 1 species
GAUGAACGCUGGCGGCGUGCCUAAUACAUGCCAGUCGAGCGAACAGACGAGGAGCUUGCUCCUCUGACGUUAGCGGCGGACGGGUGAGUAACACGUGGAUAACCUACCUAUAAGACUGGGAUAACUUCGGGAAACCGGAGCUAAUACCGGAUAAUAUAUUGAACCGCAUGGUUCAAUAGUGAAAGACGGUUUUGCUGUCACGUAUAGAUGGAUCCGCGCCGCAUUAGCUAGUUGGUAAGGUAACGGCUUACCAAGGCGACGAUGCGUAGCCGACCUGAGAGGGUGAUCGGCCACACUGGAACUGAGACACGGUCCAGACUCCUACGGGAGGCAGCAGUAGGGAAUCUUCCGCAAUGGGCGAAAGCCUGACGGAGCAACGCCGCGUGAGUGAUGAAGGUCUUCGGAUCGUAAAACUCUGUUAUUAGGGAAGAACAAAUGUGUAAGUAACUAUGCACGUCUUGACGGUACCUAAUCAGAAAGCCACGGCUAACUACGUG